rnacentral:rRNA from 1 species
CGGGUGAGUAACGCGUGGGUAACCUGCCUCAUACAGGGGAGUAACAGUUGGAAACGGCUGCUAAUACCGCAUAAGCGCACGGCAUCGCAUGAUGCAGUGUGAAAACUCCGGUGGUAUAAGAUGGACCCGCGUUGGAUUAGCUAGUUGGUGAGGUAACGGCCCACCAAGGCGACGAUCCAUAGCCGACCUGAGAGGGUGACCGGCCACAUUGGGACUGAGACACGGCCCAA